AUUGAACGCUGGCGGCAUGCUUUACACAUGCAAGUCGAACGGCAGCGCGGGCUUCGGCCUGGCGGCGAGUGGCGAAUGGGGGAGUAAUGCAUCGGAACGUGCCCAGUAGUGGGGGAUAGCCCGGCGAAAGCCGGAUUAAUACCGCAUACGACCUGAGGGUGAAAGCGGGGGACCGAAAGGCCUCGCGCUAUUGGAGCGGCCGAUGUCGGAUUAGCUAGUUGGUGGGGUAAAGGCUUACCAAGGCGACGAUCCGUAGCUGGUCUGAGAGGACGACCAGCCACACUGGGACUGGGACACCGCCCAGACUCCUACGGGAGGCAGCGGUGGGGAACUUUGGACAGAGGGGGCAACCCUGAUCCAGCCAUGCCGCGUGCGGGAAGAAGGCCUUCGGGUUGUAAACCGCUUUUGUUCGGGAAGAAAUCCUCUGGGCUAAUACCCCGGGGGGAUGACGGUACCGGAAGAAUAAGCACCGGCUAACUACGUG
rnacentral:rRNA from 1 species